rnacentral:rRNA from 1 species
GUGGGGAAUAUUGGACAAUGGGGGGAACCCUGAUCCAGCCAUGUCGCGUGUGUGAAGAAGGCCUUUUGGUGGUAAAGCACUUUAAGCGAGGAGGAGGCUACGGAGAUUAAUACUCUUGGAUAGUGGACGUUACUCGCAGAAUAAGCACCGGCUAACUCUGUGCCAGCAGCCGCGGUAAUACAGAGGGUGCAAGCGUUAAUCGGAUUUACUGGGCGUAAAGCGCGCGUAGGUGGCCAAUUAAGUCAAAUGUGAAAUCCCCGAGCUUAACUUGGGAAUUGCAUUCGAUACUGGUUGGCUAGAGUAUGGGAGAGGAUGGUAGAAUUCCAGGUGUAGCGGUGAAAUGCGUAGAGAUCUGGAGGAAUACCGAUGGCGAAGGCAGCCAUCUGGCCUAAUACUGACACUGAGGUGCGAAAGCAUGGGGAGCAAACAGGAUUAGAUACCCUUGUAGUCC